ACUCCGAGACAGGAAGUAUCUCUUUAACACACACACAUACCCCCAGACCAAGGAGCCACUUGGCCGUUCUGGGGACCCCACCCCUCUCAGGGGUCCAGGCCAGUGCUCUUUGUGCUGGGGAGAUAACCGGAGAAACGUUUAGAAGAGCCGUGUUUGAGCCCUUCUCCCCCUCUACUGUUAAAUGCAGUGGCGUCUCUAAUGGUCAGGCUCUGGCCACGAGGAGAAAGGUCCCUGACUUGGGGUGAGUUUAGAGAAUGUCUCUGCCCACGGCUGCUACUCCCCGGACAGGGGUGAGUGGUCUCUCCUUCGGGUCUUGCUCUCCCUCCCAGCAAGAUUUGGGGGCUUAGAUGAGCUGCCCCGCCCUCAAGUUCCUGCGUGGAGUCGCCAGAGAAGCCCUCGCCAUUCGAGAUGCACCACGCUGGAUGGGCCAUCAGCGUUCUUACAGGCAGCCCACAGAAGCGACCUGAUGCAUCUCCGGCUGUCGCCAUCUCAACCCUGGAUGACACCCCGGUUUUAACCUGCUCCCGAGAUCUGGGCUUCAAUCUUUGGACUCUCAACUGCCCUUCAGCCUGGAGAACAUGGGACAACUGACUGGGAACGACUGACCGGGACAAACGCCCUUAGAUGCCCUGCUGCCAUCCCCAAACCCCACACCUCCUCCUGGCAUGAAGCCCCCAAAUCUCUACGACCCUUGCCAGCUCGAAGCAUAAAGAGGAGAUGGGUGCCCCAACUGCUUGAGUGAUGUGGGAAAGAGUCCUGUCUUUGAUUCCCACCCCCUCUAGUGAAUGUAAUUGCCCUUUGACUCACAAAUCCUGGUCCCUUUGAAUUCCAAUAGAAGAUCUGGACCUGUCCCAGCCCCACCCGAAUCUGAGCCAACUUUGGGGCUACACCCAAAAGCCCCUUGAGCUAAAUCUCCCAUUAUAAAAGGGACACAUUGGGACCCCCUCUUUGCAGAGGUCCCAAACAUGCCACCAUGUGAGGACCCUCUGUCUCGUACCCUCCUUAUUUCUACCUUCACCUCUCUCCUUACUGCCAAACCCAAUAAUAAGCCUCUUUUAUCAAUCUAGCUCUCCGGCUAAUAAAUGCUUUUAUUGGGGA